CNANUUNAUGUUCUUCGUGAACAUGGCGGACUGCUCAGUAACACGUGGACAACCUACCCUUCGGUCCGGCAUAAUCCUGGGAAACUGGGGAUAAUUCCGGAUAGGUCACAGAUGCUGGAAUGCUCUGUGGCUCAAAGCUCCGGCGCCGAAGGAUGGGUCUGCGGCCUAUCAGGGUUGUAGUGGGUGUAACGUACCUACUAGCCUACGACGGGUACGGGUUGUGAGAGCAAGAGCCCGGAGAUGGAUUCUGAGACACGAAUCCAGGCCCUACGGGGUGCAGCAGGCGCGAAAACUUUACAAUGCGGGAAACCGUGAUAAGGGAAUCUCGAGUGCCAGCAUAUAAUGUUGGCUGUCCAGAUGCCUAAAAAGCAUUUGUUAGCAAGGGCCGGGCAAGACCGGUGCCAGCCGCCGCGGUAACACCGGCGGCCCGAGUGGUAACCGUUUUUAUUGGGUCUAAAGGGUCUGUAGCCGGCCAUGUAAGUCCCUUGGGAAAUCUGGCAGCUCAACUGUCAGGCUGCUAGGGGAUACUGCUUGGCUUGGGACCGGGAGAGGUGAGAGGUACCUUGAGGGUAGGGGUGAAAUCUUGUGAUCCUCGGGGGACCACCAGUGGCGAAGGCGUCUCACCAGAACGGGUCCGACGGUAAGGGACGAAAGCUAGGGGCACGAACCGGAUUAGAUACCCGGGUAGUCCUAGCCGUAAACGAUGCUCGCUAGGUGUCAGUCACGGUGCGACCGUGAUUGGUGCCGUAGGGAAGCCGUGAAGCGAGCCACCUGGGAAGUACGGCCGCAAGGCUGAAACUAAAGGAAUUGGCGGGGGAGCACUACAACGGGUGGCGCCUGCGGUUUAAAUUGGAUUCAACCNCCGGA
rnacentral:rRNA from 1 species